rnacentral:rRNA from 1 species
CUACGGGGGGCUGCAGUGAGGAAUAUUGCACAAUGGGGGGAACCCUGAUGCAGCAACGCCGCGUGGAGGAUGACGCAUUUCGGUGUGUAAACUCCUUUUAUAUGUCAAGAAAAUGACGGUAGCAUAUGAAUAAGCGCCGGCUAACUCCGUGCCAGCAGCCGCGUGUAAUACGGAGGGCGCAAGCGUUACUCGGAAUCACUGGGCGUAAAGGACGCGUAGGCGGGUUGAAAAGUCAGGUGUGAAAGCCUACAGCUUAACUGUAGAACUGCACUUGAAACUCUCAACCUAGAGUAUGGGAGGGGCAGAUGGAAUUAGUGGUGUAGGGGUAAAAUCCGUAGAUAUCACUAGGAAUACCUAAAGCGAAGGCGAUCUGCUGGAACAUUACUGACGCUAAGGCGUGAAAGCGUGGGGAGCAAACAGGAUUAGAUACCCCUGUAGUC